UACGUAGGGGGCAAGCGUUGUCCGGAUUUAUUAGGCGUAAAGAGCGUGUAGGCGGCUUUACAGGUCCGUUGUGAAAACUCGAGGCUCAACCUCGAGACGCCGGUGGAAACCGUAAAGCUAGAGUCCGGAAGAGGAGAGUGGAAUUCCUGGUGUAGCGGUGAAAUGCGCAGAUAUCAGGAGGAACACCGGUGGCGAAGGCGGGUCUCUGGGCCGAAAUUGACGCUGAGGAGCGAAAGCGUGGGGAGCGAACAGG
rnacentral:rRNA from 1 species